UACGGAGGGGGUUAGCGUUGUUCGGAAUUACUGGGCGUAAAGCGCACGUAGGCGGAUUAGAAAGUUAGAGGUGAAAUCCCAGGGGCUCAACCCUGGAACUGCCUUUAAAACUCCUAGUCUUGAGUUCGAGAGAGGUGAGUGGAAUUCCAAGUGUAGAGGUGAAAUUCGUAGAUAUUGGAGGAACACCAGUGGCGAAGGCGGCUCACUGGCUCGAUACUGACGCUGAGGUGCGAAAGUGU
rnacentral:rRNA from 1 species